UCAAUUUGGAGUUUUAGAUCAAAAGUUAUGGCUUGUUGAAGUUCCAUGCACACUUGGCAAUGAUUUGAUCAUAUCUUCUUAACCGUUCAUCAGAUGCUCAUGAUCUUGGACUUUUUGAAAAUGGGAGAGAAAGAUCUUCAACUUUCAUGUUGGAUAAAAUUUCAUUUGAAGCUUCUUUGAUCUUGGAAAGUCAAGUUGAAUUUGAUACAAAAACUUGCCAUUUUUGGAAACUUGAAAUUACAUGUCACUUUCCAUUUUGGGAAACUUUU
rnacentral:lncRNA from 1 species